CGAAGUAUAGCAUAUAUAAAUGCCUUUUACUUACACUAAAAAUAAAGUUAAUAACUUACUUCGC
rnacentral:tRNA from 1 species